rnacentral:rRNA from 1 species
UGGGGAAUAUUGCACAAUGGGGGAAACCCUGAUGCAGCGACGCCGCGUGAGCGAAGAAGGUUUUCGAAUCGUAAAGCUCUGUCCUAUGGGAAGAUAAUGACGGUACCAUAGGAGGAAGCCCCGGCUAACUACGUGCCAGCAGCCGCGGUAAUACGUAAGGGGCAAGCGUUGUCCGGAAUCACUGGGCGUAAAGGGUUCGCAGGCGGAAAUGCAAGUCAGUUGUGAAAGGCAGAGGCUCAACCUCUGUAAGCAAUUGAAACUGUAUUUCUUGAGAUGUGGAGAGGCAAGUGGAAUUCCUAGUGUAGCGGUGAAAUGCGUAGAUAUUAGGAAGAAUACCGGUGGCGAAGGCGACUUGCUGGACACAAACUGACGCUGAGGAACGAAAGCGUGGGUAGCAAACAGG